UGGGCGAAAGCCUGAUGCAGCGACGCCGCGUGAGGGAUGACGGCCUUCGGGUUGUAAACCUCUUUCAGCAGGGAAGAAGCGAAAGUGACGGUACCUGCAGAAGAAGCGCCGGCUAACUACGUGCCAGCAGCCGCGGUAAUACGUAGGGCGCGAGCGUUGUCCGGAAUUAUUGGGCGUAAAGAGCUCGUAGGCGGCUUGUCGCGUCGGUUGUGAAAGCCCGGGGCUUAACCCCGGGUCUGCAGUCGAUACGGGCAGGCUAGAGUUCGGUAGGGGAGAUCGGAAUUCCUGGUGUAGCGGUGAAAUGCGCAGAUAUCAGGAGGAACACCGGUGGCGAAGGCGGAUCUCUGGGCCGAUACUGACGCUGAGGAGCGAAAGCGUGGGGAGCGAACAGGAUUAGAUACCCUGGUAGUCCACGCCGUAAACGGUGGGCACUAGGUGUGGGCGACAUUCCACGUCGUCCGUGCCGCAGCUAACGCAUUAAGUGCCCCGCCUGG
rnacentral:rRNA from 1 species